GCAAACACUACAUGGAAAGUUCUGCAGAUGCAGAAGUCAAGGCACAGGGAUGUGAACAUACGUGGGUCAUGUUUCAUAGUACCUGGACCAAGAGAAGAGGUCUCUCUAUGUUGAGAAAAUGGCAAUGCCUUCCCACAGCAUGGUACUUCUUCUCCUUCUGAGAAUGAUACUGUUACAUAAAGGUUUUCGGCGGUGCCCCAGAACACGGAGAUUUCCUUCUGCCCAGCUGCAUGAGGCACACAUAUCCUGGGAUGGCAUUAGGAAGAUGGCCACUUUCACAUCAACUUAUGUACUCUGGCACCAACCUCUCUUCUCCCUACCCAGCCCAACUUCCC
rnacentral:lncRNA from 10 species